rnacentral:rRNA from 1 species
UACGUAGGGUGCGAGCGUUGUCCGGAAUUAUUGGGCGUAAAGAGCUCGUAGGCGGUCUGUCGCGUCGGUCGUGAAAACUUGGGGCUUAACCCUGAGCUUGCGGUCGAUACGGGCAUGACUGGAGUUCGGCAGGGGGAGACUGGAAUUCCUGGUGUAGCGGUGAAAUGCGCAGAUAUCAGGAGGAACACCGGUGGCGAAGGCGGGUCUCUGGGCCGAUACUGACGCUGAGGAGCGAAAGCGUGGGGAGCGAACAGG